GCUGCGUCAGUGGCUUUGAACCUCGGUCCAGAUUGCUUUCAUGCAAAGCCUGUCAUGUUUGGGAGUGGCGAUUUGGCUCCCGAGCUGGGCCGCCCAGUUAUCUGGGGAUCUGUGCCACUUUCCAAUUUCAUGAGAUAUACGAAUCAGGAUACAAUGGAAAUACAAGCUUGGCGGGCCCAGCGUUCGUGCCGACGACCGCCAGCGGUCUUUCUCUUGUUCGUACCGACGACCAGGCCGACGGGCGGCUGGGGCUUUGGCCAUGCAGCUCGGAAUCGGCGCCCGGCCAACCAUGCUCUGGUUGUUCAUACUCUCCGGCAGCCAGAGAGCAUGGAUCUGGCGUCUCCAUAGACUCCUGCCCAGAUGGGGAUCGAGCUGACAUUCGUUCUAGCUGCCGAGGAGGAGGCUCGUGGCCAGCGGUGUUGGAGCGUUGCGGCCGAAGAGGGAGGAGAAGCUUGCUUUCCAUGGACGCAGCUGCUGGGGUGCCCGAUUUGUAGUCUCCCUCCUCGGCUCCGGCGUAUAGAACGGAUGGAUCAGGUACCCCUCUACUCUGCUGGACAGGGAGCACGGAUCCAGCGUGCCCUUUGUAUCCAGCACAUGCAGCACUCGUACGUGCAAUUCCUCAUUUGCUUGGUAAUGCUCCUCUGUUUCUGAUCUCCUUUCAAUUCGUGCGAAAGCAGUUGAUUUGCUGCAGUGUACGUGCAAUUUUUAGCACAUACUGUAGUUUUGAAUUGGCUAAUUAUUAUUUGCAACAGCCAACAGUAGUGAGGCUGGAGUGGACGGUGGAGCUUUUUGUUUAAUAUUGACAAUUGGUUUGUGUAGAUGCGAUAUGAACAAAUUCUGAUGCCCAAACCAUUUUGUUUUGUUGACAAACUAUGUCAAGUCAUUUAGUGCAAAGUGUUUUACUGCAUGAUCCAUCCGAUGUGCAUUCUGUUGAUGCCAAUGUCUUCUACAACUGAUUAAAAGACUGGGUGGCAAGACGGUCUUCAAGUUUGAUUGUGUGAAAUAAUUUUUAUGGUGAUGGUACAAUAGUCUGUGUUAAUCUAGUGCUAAUUAGGAUCUAAGUGUGAUAUGAAGCAAAUCUGUAUUUGUUGUUUGUUUGUCUAUGAACAGAAAUCAGAAAAAGAAAAGGGUCUUUGUUCAUUGUCCAAUUUAGUGAUGGAACAGUGACAUUUUGCUCAUUAUGUGCCCUAUGGAAUACUAUAUUUCAGGAGGAUUAGUUCUUUUUUUAAAGUGUACAAAUACUUACUUGUACCAUUUUUGCAGUGUAAACUGAUACUAAAUUUUCUGCUGUGUUGGGUUGUGCAGUAUCUCUUUGUAUGUAAACCAUUAUAUUCUUUUUUUGCGCAUAGUAAACAAUCAUAUUCGGCAAGACAUAUGCAGUGUGAUAUUUUGUUUGUAGUUUUUCGGUCAUCUGUUUAAUGUGAACUAUCUAAAAUUCACUAACAAUUUCUCAGGUGUGUCUCGCCACUCUAGUUAGCAGCCAGUGUGCCGCUGUUGGUACUAAGUCAAGGCAAUCAAUGCAGAAUGGAGAUAUGUUACUCCGAAUAUAAAAUUGGUGGGAGAGGGGAAACAUGGACUGACAUGCACUGUUUACACAUCAGGCCUAUCGUCAGGAUUUGACAUGUGGGAAAAGGAGACAAGCAUAUACAUGAUUUAUGAUGUGGUAUACAGACUAAAAUACUCCUGCCUUCAUCAAUCUUGGAGCAGCUGAGUGGUCCUGAUAUAGAGAGCAGCUGAGCUCGGGAGCCAUAUUGGAUAUCCCGUCAUGUUUGCCUUUUGUACAGGAAUAGGCAAGCACAAAGAAGAUCUGAUCGUAGACGCUCAUUGUCUUAGGUUUAUCUUGAAUACACAGUAACUUUGGAUUUGGGUUCAAUUUGUUUUGUAUCAUGUGCUUGGAUAGUGUUGUGCUCUCCAGGGAUGCAAUCCCGGCUCUUCUCACAUACAACCUAUGGAUACCUUAUGGAGAUUGGUUGGAGCAUAAUCUUCUCACGUACAACCUAUGUAUACAUAAUGGGCAAUGGUUGGGGCAUAACAAUGCUAAUCAGGCGAGCUUAUAAAUUAACAUGUUGUCUAAGCACAUGACAACAGCAUGAAGGAGCCUAAUGUCGUCGUUGGUCAAAUACUAAUAAAUUUUUGUAUCGACAAAACAUGUCCAAGACCCUCUAUGGGAGAGUUAACAUCUUCAAUGGCAUGCCCAGUCUUCAUUUACGGCUGAUGUUGCUUGAUUUGCUGGUCUGCCACAAUCUCCUGUUCAAGGAAGUUCCUUGCAAAGCUGCCAUGUCCUGGCUGUUGUAGGUUACAAAAUUGACUUCUCAUGAAUUUGCUUCUAACCCUUUUUAGCCAGAAUAUAGUGCAGAUGUUAGACUGUGAAACACUUGACAAUGAAGCUCUUUGUCAACUACUAAAACAUUGAGGGUUUCUGUUAUAAAUCUGAAUAUCUAUUUUUUGCGGGCAAUUUGUUUGCAAAAGCAAAGGCAACGUGAGAACUACUAAUGCUUGAGUGUCGUUGCUGCUGAA